rnacentral:rRNA from 1 species
AUUGACCGCUGGCGGCAGGCCUAACACAUGCACGUCGGGCGACCGGCGGACGGGUGAGUAAUGUAUGGGGAUCUGCCUGAUGGCGGGGGAUCACUCCUUGAAACGGUAGCUAAUACCGCAUACCAUCAGAUGACCCCAUAUGGGAUUAGCUAGUAGGUAAGUUAACGGCUUACCUAGGCGACUAUCCCUAGCGGGUCUGAGAGGAUGAUCAGGAAAACUGGGACUGAGACACGGCCCAGACUCCUACGGGAGGCAGCAGUGGGGAAUAUUGCACAAUGGGCGCAAGCCUGAUGCAGCCAUGCCGCGUGUAUGAAGAAGGCAGUAGGGUUGUAAAGUACUUUCAGCGGGGAGGCGUUACCCGCAGAAGAAGCAACGGCUAACUCCGUGCCAGCAGCCGCGGUAAUAC